rnacentral:rRNA from 1 species
UACAGAGGGUGCAAGCGUUAAUCGGAAUUACUGGGCGUAAAGCGUGCGCAGACGGUUGCGUAAGUCAGAUGUGAAAGCCCCGGGCUCAACCUGGGAAUUGCAUUUGAGACUGCGUAGCUAGGGUGCGGAAGAGGGAAGCGGAAUUUACGGUGUAGCGGUGAAAUGCGUAGAUAUCGUAAGGAAGACCAGUGGCGAAGGCGGGUCUCUGGACAGUUCCUGAC